CAUACUAUUGACUCUAAAAAUGAAACGUUUUAAGUAGAAAAAGCUUCUUUUUCUAUAUAGAAAAGAAUCUUUUCUACGUAGAAAAGAGACUUUUCUAUAUAGAAAACUGCAGCCGUAAUUCCACCCCAGGUUUUCACAUUCAUUGCUUCU